AACGCGAAGAACCUUACCCGGGCUUGACAUCCUGUGACAUCCUAAGAGAUUAGGUUUUCUAGCAAUAGAACACAGAGACAGGUGCUGCAUGGCUGUCGUCAGCUCGUGCCGUGAGGUGUUGGGUUAAGUCCCGCAACGAGCGCAACCCUUGUCGUGUGUUGGUCGAAAGAUCUCUCACGCGAGACCGCCGGUGACAAGCCGGAGGAAGGUGGGGAUGACGUCAAGUCAGCAUGGCCCUUACGUCCGGGGCUACACACGUGCUACAAUGGAAGGGACAGCGAGUCGCUAACCCGCGAGGGUGUGCUAAUCUCUUAAACCCUUCCUCAGUUCGGAUUGGAGGCUGCAACUCGCCUCCAUGAAGUCGGAAUCGCUAGUAACCGCAGAUCAGCUACGCUGCGGUGAAUACGUUCCCGGGCCUUGUA
rnacentral:rRNA from 1 species